rnacentral:rRNA from 1 species
CCUACGGGUGGCUGCAGUGAGGAAUAUUGGUCAAUGGACGCAAGUCUGAACCAGCCAUGCCGCGUGCAGGAAGACGGCUCUAUGAGUUGUAAACUGCUUUUGUCCGAGGGUAAAUCCCGAUACGUGUAUCGGGUUGCAAGUAUCGUACGAAUAAGGAUCGGCUAACUCCGUGCCAGCAGCCGCGGUAAUACGGAGGAUUCAAGCGUUAUCCGGAUUUAUUGGGUUUAAAGGGUGCGUAGGCGGUUCGAUAAGUUAGGGGUGAAAUCCCGGGGCUCAACCCCGGCACUGCCUCUGAUACUGGCAGACUAGAGUUUGGGUGCGGUACGCGGAAUGCAUGGUGUAGCUGUGAAAUGCAUAGAGAUCGUACAGAACUCCGAUUGCGAAGGCAGCUUACCGAACUACGACUGACGUUGAGGCACGAAAGCGUGGGGAGCGAACAGGAUUAGAUACCCCGGUAGUC